rnacentral:rRNA from 1 species
AUUGAACGCUGGCGGUAUGCUUAACACAUGCAAGUCGAACGGUAACAUAAGAGAGCUUGCUCUCUUGAUGACGAGUGGCGGACGGGUGAGUAAUAUAUAGGAACCUUCCUCAUAGUUUAGGAUAAGCACUCGAAAGAGUGUCUAAUACUGGAUGUGGACUACGGUUUAAAGCAGGGGAUCUUCGGACCUUGUGCUACGAGAUGGGCCUAUAUGAGAUUAGCUAGUUGGUGAGAUAAAGACUCACCAAGGCGACGAUCUCUAGCUGGUUUGAGAGGAUGAUCAGCCACACUGGGACUGAGACACGGCCCAGACUCCUACGGGAGGCAGCAGUGGGGAAUAUUGGACAAUGGGGCGAACCCCUGAUCCAGCAAUACCGCGUGUGUGAAGAAGGCCUCGGUU